rnacentral:rRNA from 1 species
GAUGAACGCUGGCGGCGUGCCUAAUACAUGCAAGUCGAGCGAACAGACGAGGAGCUUGCUCCUCUGACGUUAGCGGCGGACGGGUGAGUAACACGUGGAUAACCUACCUAUAAGACUGGGAUAACUUCGGGAAACCGGAGCUAAUACCGGAUAAUAUAUUGAACCGCAUGGUUCAAUAGUGAAAGACGGUUUUGCUGUCACUUAUAGAUGGAUCCGCGCCGCAUUAGCUAGUUGGUAAGGUAACGGCUUACCAAGGCGGCGAUGCGUAGCCGACCUGAGAGGGUGAUCGGCCACACUGGAACUGAGACACGGCCCAGACUCCUACGGGAGGCAGCAGUAGGGAAUCUUACGCAAUGGGCGAGAGCCUGACGGAGCAACGCCGCGUGAGUGAUGAAGGUCUUCGGAUCGUAAAACUCUGUUAUUAGGGAAGAACAAAUGUGUAAGUAACUAUGCACGUCUUGACGGUACCGAAUCAGAAAGCCCCGGCUAACUACGUG